CCACAAAUCUAAUAUACCCCAAUACUAAUUUUGAGUAUCGGGUAUAAAAAGGCCAGGUCCCAGUUCCCAGUUCCAGGCACUCCACUCAUAGAAGCGUCCCCCUUUUUGCGUACGCAGCAUCCGCAAAAGAGUGCCAAAAACUGGAAUGGUAAUGGUCGGGAUUUAGUACAGUGGUCACUCGCUAAAUUAAAUCAACCAAAGUUGCUAAUUGAAUGAAUUGCUAAUACAGAGAAGCAUACUCUGGAAAAACCAAAGCUUUCGGUAUACCUUCCAGCAGCUGGUGGUCAGUGUUUGCGAGGACACACUGUGUCUGGUAUUGGCACGGGCAAAAUCAGUGCGGGCGGAAACUGAGUGCCGUCAUCAAAACACACACGCACACACACACACACACUCUCGUCGCAGGCAAAGAGAGAAAGGAAGGGAGAGAGGCUGAAAAGACAGACACAUGAAAGUCAGCAGAGGGGAGAAGGGUGGGGGGCCUCCGCCGCCGCCGCCACCACAAUCAUUUGUUAAGCCUCGUGGCCAUGACUACUGGACUCUGGCUGACCGUGUCCUGGUCAGAUUUUUCGAGUUUUCUCGCCCUCUCUUACGCAUCCAUACACGAACACAACACACACCAUCAUCAUCAUCAUCAACACCAGCAAAUGGGAGAAAAAGAACAACAGUGCUGCUGCUGUUGCAGCCUCCUCCACCAACCAUCACGCUUCCGUGUUUCGAAAUUCAAUUUAUGUAUACUUUAUGGUGGGAGACGAACCGAACGAACGGAGCAAAAUUUACAGUUUGGCCGAUUAGCUGAAUGGAGUUGUUGUAACAGUGUGACUGUAUUUUAUAUUGUCAGCUGUUUGCCAUC